rnacentral:rRNA from 1 species
GCAGUCGAGCGCAUCCUUCGGGAUGAGCGGCGGACGGGUGAGUAACGCGUGGGAAUGUGCCCUUCUCUACGGAAUAGCCACUGGAAACGGUGAGUAAUACCGUAUACGCCCUCAGGGGGAAAGAUUUAUCGGAGAAGGAUCAGCCCGCGUUAGAUUAGGUAGUUGGUGGGGUAACGGCCUACCAAGCCUACGAUCUAUAGCUGGCUUUAGAGGAUGAUCAGCCACACUGGGACUGAGACACGGCCCAGACUCCUACGGGAGGCAGCAGUAGGGAAUCUUGGACAGUGGGGGCAACCCUGAUCCAGCCAUGCCGCGUGAGUGAAGAAGGCCCUAGGGUCGUAAAGCUCUUUCGCCUGUGAUGAUAAUGACAGUAGCAGGUAAAGAAACCCCGGCUAACUCCGUGCCAGCAGCCGCGGUAAUACGGAGGGGGUUAGCGUUGUUCGGAAUUACUGGGCGUAAAGCGCGCGUAGGCGGAUUGGAAAGUUGGGGGUGAAAUCCCGGGGCUCAACCCCGGAACUGCCUUCAAAACUCCCAGUCUAGAGUUCGAGAGAGGUGAGUGGAAUUCCGAGUGUAGAGGUGAAAUUCGUAGAUAUUCGGAAGAACACCAGUGGCGAAGGCGGCUCACUGGCUCGAUACUGACGCUGAGGUGCGAAAGUGUGGGGAGCAAACAGGAUUAGAUACCCUGGUAGUCCACACCGUANACGAUGAAUGCCAGUCGUCGGAUAGUAUACUAUUCGGUGACACACCUAACGGAUUAAGCAUUCCGCCUGGGGAGUACGGUCGCAAGAUUAAACUCAAAGGAAUUGACGGGGGCCCGCACAAGCGGUGGAGCAUGUGGUUUAAUUUCGAAGCACGCGCAGAACCUUACAACCCUUGACAUCCUGUGCUAUAUCCAGAGAUGGAUAGUUCCUUUCGGGGACGC